rnacentral:snoRNA from 1 species
UUAGCCUAGAAGCAUUAGAGGAGUGGCAAGUGUGUCCCAUGUACAGCAGUAGUGGGCAGAGUGGAGAGAGGCUAUGUCUACCUACCCUUAGUCUUCUGACCUACGAACAUCUGAAUGAUCCUGACAUU